rnacentral:misc_RNA from 1 species
UCGCGGCUUAUCACCGGCAGUCGCCUUAGAGUGCCCAACUAAAUGAUGGCAACUAAGGCCGAGGGUUGCGCUCGUUGCGGGACUUAACCCAACAUCUCACGACACGAGCUGACGACAGCCAUGCAGCACCUGUGUUCCGAUUCCCUUUCGGGCACCCCCACCUCUCAGCAGGGUUCCGGACAUGUCAAGGGUAGGUAAGGUUGUUCGCGUUGCGUCGAAUUAAACCACAUGCUCCACCGCUUGUGCGGGCCCCCGUCAAUUCCUUUGAGUUUCAGCCUUGCGGCCGUACUCCCCAGGCGGGGUACUUCACGCGUUAGCUGCGUUACCAAGUCAAUUAAGACCCGACAACUAGUAGACAUCGUUUAGGGCGUGGACUAC